rnacentral:rRNA from 1 species
AUGGCGAUGACCGCUGCAUUUUGCACUACUAUCGACUUCAUUGGAUCUGCAAUGGGGUCAGGAGCUUGGCUACUGUUUGCUGUCGUGCAAUUGCAUGGGGAAGAUGGAAAAACAGUUGGAGUCGAGGCAGUCAUAUGAAAUGCUGUCGGGCUUGCUCUACUUACAAUUUUCAUUACCAUCAAAGUGACUGUGCCUAGAAACUUGAAUAAGAUGGUAUGCGUCGGGUCAUUGAUUGGGUUUGCCAACAUCAUUGGCGUGAGUGUGUCAUUUGCACUCUUUGGACCAAUUCUGAGAGACUCGAUGGCAGCACAUGACAUCGCUCUUGUUGCUACGGUUCUCCAGAUUAUUUCUCAGAUACUACCCUACAUCAGUGUGUAUGGUCUUUUCUAUCCACCUGUCGAUCCACCAGCUCCUGUCCAUAUUCGGAACAUGAGACCGCUGCUAGUCUAUUCAAGGGGAUCCAAUUUUCUGAUAUCCCUCUUUUGGGCUAUGUAUGCUACGCUUACCUAUCAACACACUAUGUUUGAGGUCGCGAAUGUCUUCAGCACCAUUUUGGGCUUCGGAUCGUUGUGUCUUCACCUACUGUAUGCGCUCAACCCGGCCCUGUAA